rnacentral:lncRNA from 1 species
GGCUGCAUUAUACGACUUCUGUUCCAAAACAGAUUAACUAGACGGUUGGUUAGGAAGUUAUAUCAGUUCAGAACUUGCACCAACUGAAAUCAAACACAAGACAACAACAUAAAUAAACAGACAGCAAGGACUAGAUUAUUCAGACAUGUCUUCCCAAGAUCAAGCCUCUGCAAAUCUGCUGCAAAAUGUGGGAGAAACCCAGCAUCAUACAAAGAACUAACCACUCUGCCACAAUACUAUCCAAACCCAGACUCGAAACGAAGCCAAAUUUGCAGAACAUGAACAGAGAGAGCAUGAUGCAUUCAUCGAAAUCAUCCCCGGAUCUCGCAGAAUCCAGUUAAGAGAUCCAUCAAAGCUGAAAAGAGCUUGCAUAUUCAACAAAUGGGUUACUGAAAAGCUUACAACUUGCCAAUUUGCAUAUUCUAAAACAAGAGACAGAAGUCACCCAGACGCUAAAGUUGCAAUCUUUGCGAACCCUACUGCUCGACAAUAUGACAUCAACAACAGUAAGAGCCAACCCUACUGCUACAACAGAGAGAUCAAUCAGAUUAUACAGAAGCAAAACUCAAUCAUAUCAUAUAUCAACAUUCCCACCAGAAGUUCGUUGCUUCUUCUUCCCCCUUUUGAUCUUCUCCAGCUGGAUCUGAGUCUCUGAGAACAUCCUCAUCCUCUCCAUCUCCAAAUCCUUAGCAAACUUCAUCCUUUGCUUCUCCAAUUCCACCAUCUUCCUCAACUUCUCACCCUCCACUCUCUCGUACACUUCUCCAAACCUCUCUAUCGCCUUCCCCAACCUCCUCACCUCUUCCCCUUCCUCAUCCACCUCCUCCUCUUUCUCCUCCUCCUCCUCCUCACUCUCCGACUCCGCCGCAGCAGCAGCAGCAGCCGCAGGCGAGGAAUUCCUCCUAUUAUUCCCCUCCCCUGACGACUACGUCCUACUCCCCGGCGCCCGUCCUCUGCCCCGACGGGGACACAAACCCCAUCGCGGGGUCUGCCGUCGUCCGCCGGUAAUUGUUCAACGGUAGCCCAACCGGAGGCGAAGGCGAUAGAGAUUCCCUCUGCCGCAGCUGUUUGGCCGAGGACGAGAAAUUGGAUCCGAUCAGCGAAUCCAAUCGGUCGAAGAAUCGCCAGGAGGAGGUUAUGGCGCCGUUGGAGGCGGCGACGCGGGUUUUCUCCACCUUGUACUUCUUUUUUAUGGUGUCGACGCGGUUCUUGCACUGGACAUCGGUGCGGUAAGUCUUUUUCGUAAGGCCGUGGAUGGAAUUGACCGUAUCAGCGACGUCUUUCCAGUCCUUCUGGCGGAGGUUGCCGCGGUUCAGCUCGAGGUAGCGGUUCCCCCAAGCGUCGACUAAGGUCGCCGUUGCUUCCUCGCUCCAGCAGUCUUCCCGGAUUGGCAUCGGCCGGGAGGUGGAUGAAUUAGCGUUGGGAUUUGGGGUGGUGCCGGAAUCGGUGAGGUCUCCCAUGUCGGCGUCGGAUCUGAAAAUCUAGGGUUUGUUGGAAAUUGGGGGUUUGGUUUGAUGCCGGAAGAGAGAGAGAUGAUGAGAAUGUGAAGGGUAAGGUGGGAAUAAAAGAAGGUCGCCGGGGGGAAGGCGCGUGGGGUAAACGGACAGGCGAGGGCUGCGUCAUCGGGGAUUGGAGGGAGAAUCAUAAUCCCGGCUAGCCUUCGCCGUUAGAUCGUUGCCGACUAAUAAUCGGUCCGUCCAGCUACGAUGGAAUUGUUCCUUCCGUCUCCGUCUCCGUUGUAGUGUCCACUUCUCAACUACGACAACAACGUCCGUUUCUCCUCUAAAUAAUCGAUUUCCAGAAUCUUUCUUUGUGUUAAAUAUUAAUUACUAUUCAUCCAAAAAAAAUAUUGCUGAUUUUGUUUUUGUAAAGGGCCCGAUAUCUAUAUAGUCAGUUUGGGUGUACACCUUUAAAUAGACCUUGUACGUUGUUUAGCGAGCUUUUAUAUUGUCUCGAUUGGUCGGUUGGACUUUGUGAGAUGAUUCCAACAUGAAAUCGAAGCUAUUUGAGUGUUUAAACGACCGUUGUUGCUGCAAAUUUUUGUGAAGCGAAGAACACUUUCUUGACCGUGGUAGUAAUGCUCGUGGUGAUGCGCUGGAUUACGACCAUGGUACCAGGUACAAGCUCUGAUUCCUUUUAAAAUUGUAUGUGGGGUGAGAGUCAAUCGGGAAGGUUAAUAACAUAUCAUGUCGGUUAAUUAGGAUGGUAUAAUAAAUAGGUUUAUCGAUUACCAGACCUGCAUAGUGAUGAUUGGUUCGGUCAGUUGUAGUCGGUUUCAGUUAAAAGAGAAUUGGUUAAAUUUCGACUCCGAAGAUUAGGCCAAUGGCCGAGCACAGAUCUUCGUUUGUCGGGGGCUUCUUCCUGUGUUACAAAGCCUCAGAAUCUUUACACACACAAAAAAAAACCUAGUAAAGAUUCUGCAUCUCUAGCUCUGUCAAAUGUUGAGAAGAAUGCGGUACAAGUUCCUGGGAAGAAUGAAGCAGAAUACCCGCAAUGUCAGACAUUAUAAAUUCUCAGUUUUUGUUUUUUUUGUAAGUAUUUCUACCUCAAACGUAGGGAUUAACAACUGAGACGGGAAUCAAAAGGAUUACCUCGGAAUAGCGGACAUGAUCGUGAAGCAUAUAGGAAGAUUUCACCUUGGUCUCCCACUUGCUAGUUGCUGCUGCUGUUGAACUCGUCUUUGAAUCAACCCAUUUGCCUUGGAAACUCGAUGCAGGACCCCUAGGGGUGCGGGUCCUCGACAAAACUUCAGGCAGAGUUCGCCAAAGCCACGACUCCGAAGGCGUCUUAAGGACAGGAGGAAGAGACGACGAAUCCUCCAGACGAAACAGCGUCUAUCCCUGCAUCAGCAUUCUCACUUACACAUACCAAGGCUUGGGGUAAUUCUCCACAAACGUCAUUUCCAUUGGCAAACUCACAGACUCAUCAUAUUCAUCAUUAACAGUCUUCCUCUUCAUUCUGUUCCUUGGGAUGGCAGUAAGAAACAAUAGCAGCAAGCGACUCCCGUAGGCUAACAACAGCAAUCGGUCUCGAUUGUUGCUGCUGCUUCUUUGUAGAGUACUGAGGCUGCUGAUCCAAAGUCAUUGCCUUUGCAGCAGGCAAGAACCGACUCAUCAUGAAUUCUCGAGUCUGCGGAUCGGUUGCAAAGUUCCCGAUUGGUUAUGUUCAUGUAGUCGAACGGUGGAGUGGACUGUGACUAGAGACAGUGAGAGUGAGACUGUGAGAGUGUUUCUUCUGCAGGAGAAAAUUCCGAGUGGAUGGCAAGGAAGGUGUUCGAUCAAUUGUGGGGGUUCCCAUGUCACUCAACUCAGGGAAAAUAUCCGUUGGUGGAAUCACAAAGCUCUAGCUCAUGUUCACUAAUAUUCGAGGUGCAGUGAGUCGAAUUCGAAAUCAUAAUGACUCUAAUUAGGGUAAGCUCUGCAUCGAGAUUCGGCGAAGGGGUUCCCGUAAGAUCGAGGCUCCAUGAAAGACCGGCUUAAUCAGUGGGGAGUACUGCUAAUAGUUCCUAGCUAUGACUAACAAGCAUGUGGCAAACUUACAGUAACUGAAACCAGAACACACUGAAAAAACCAGAACAACAGGAAAAGAAACAUCACACGACAACAACAUAGAGAAAUAAACAGGCAACAAGGACUAGGUUUAUCCAGACAUGUCUUCCCAAGAUCAAGCCAUCUGCAGAUCUGAUGCAAAACUACAAGAACAUGAACCCAAAUUUGGCAACAGAUCAAAGGAACCAACCCAAAUGUGCAGAACAUGAACAGAGAGAGUAUGCUGCAUUUAUCGAAAUCAUCCCUGAAUCUCGCCGAAGAGAUCUAUCUAAGCUGCUGCACAUCAAUCAAAUGGGUUACUGAAAAGCUUCCAACUUGCCGAUUUGCAAACUGUAAAACAAGAGACAGAAGUCACCCACAAGCUAAAGUUGCAAUCUUUGCAACAACCCAUCAUAUCAUAUACCAUAAUAUCUCAUCCAUGAACAAACCAGAGGAAUCAAACAACAAAACUUCUAAAAGCUUGAAUCAACCUACACCGAACUAGAAUUAAGCUUCAACAAUGUGACAUCAACAACAGUAAGAGCAACCCUACUACUAAAACAGAGAGAUCAAUCAGAUAAUACAGAAGAAAGCUCCAUCAUCAUAUCACAUAUCAACAUUCCCACCAGAGGUUCGUUGCUUCUUCUUCCCCCUUUUGAUCUUCUCCAGCUGGAUCUGAGUCUCUGUAAACAUCCUCAUCCUCUCCAUCUCCAAAUCCUUAGCAAACUUC